AUUUCCUCUAAGUAUUCUUUAGUCGGAUAAAAAAAAUCUGUUCUUAUCAGUUUAAUAGCUAUUAUGUCCUGCAUCACAGGACUAAAAUAUUAAACUCUUUUUUGGCUCAUGAUGGAGUGAGUUCUCUUAAAGUAGCCAAAUGCCUCGUCACCUACGAUGUCUAAGCAUAGACGAGUUGUAAAUGUCAG